AUGGUAAUAGCAGCUGGUGCAGGAAAUUUGGGGCAAGUUUCGAAUGCGCUCCAUUCGGAGGCAAUGGCAAUGUUGCAUGCCAUAAACGCAGCUAUUCAGAUGGGUUGUCACUGUGUCAUAAUGGAGACUGACUCUGUGCAACUUCAGUCAGCAGUGAACAAUGAAGACUAUGAUCUCUCUACAUUAGGAGCUAUUUUCAAAGAUAUUAAAUUUAAGCUGAGAGUAAGCUUCAAUCAUGUAACUGUUGUGUCUUGUCCUAGAACUUGUAAUGUAGUGGCACACUGUUUAGCAGCGUAUGGUACUAAACUAGGAGCUGGCAUAAGUGAGAUUUGGCUUGAUGAAUGUCCAGACUUUGUAAAUGACGCUGUUGCUGGCGACUUGUCCAGCAUUGGUUCUUAA
rnacentral:rRNA from 1 species